UACAGAGGUCUCAAGCGUUGUUCGGAUUCAUUGGGCGUAAAGGGUGUGUAGGUGGCGCCGUAAGUCGGGUGUGAAAUUUCGGAGCUUAACUCCGAAACUGCAUUCGAUACUGCGGUGCUUGAGGACUGGAGAGGAGACUGGAAUUCAUGGUGUAGCAGUGAAAUGCGUAGAGAUCAUGAGGAAGACCAGUGGCGAAGGCGGAUCUCUGGACAGUUACUGACACUGAGGCACGAAGGCCAGGGGAGCAAACGGG
rnacentral:rRNA from 1 species